rnacentral:rRNA from 1 species
UGGGGAAUAUUGGACAAUGGGCGCAAGCCUGAUCCAGCAAUACCGCGUGAGUGAUGAAGGCCUUCGGGUUGUAAAGCUCUUUUAGUAGAGAAGAUAAUGACGGUAUCUACAGAAAAAGCACCGGCAAACUUCGUGCCAGCAGCCGCGGUAAUACGAAGGGUGCUAGCGUUGUUCGGAAUCACUGGGCGUAAAGCGUGCGUAGGCGGCUGAGUAAGUCGAUUGUGAAAGCCCCAGGCUCAACUUGGGAAUGGCAAUCGAAACUGCUUGGCUAGAGUAAGAUAGAGGACAGUGGAAUUCCUAGUGUAGGGGUGAAAUCCGUAGAUACUAGGAGGAACACCAGAAGCGAAGGCGACUGUCUGGGUCUUUACUGACGCUGAGGUACGAAAGCGUGGGGAGCAAACAGG